UGCUGUAGUUUUAGCUUAUCUAGUGAAAUAGAAUGACACUUUCAAUCUGCUAGAUCAGGGAUCUGCAACCUGUAGUUCUGGACUACAGGUUCCCACGGGGGCCAUUGACUACUGGCCCCCGUGGUAAAUUUGAUCUGGAACCAGCAUUCACAUACAUAUUUGCACAUAACUUUAUUUCUUGCUGUCUGAGAAAUUUUGAACAUUAUACCAGGUGUUAUGAUCAGUUACUCAGUACUUGAGUAGACUUUUUACCAAAUACUUUCUAUCACUACACCGGCCAUCCCACCAUUAUGAAAGAAGGGUGACAUGGGCUGUAGCAUGCGUCCGUAUUUUAAUUUCUGAAAGGUGGCAACCCUACAUCACAGAGUUUUCCCAAGUAAAAGUGAUCAUUCUCAUGAAGUGUAAAUUUCUUUUUAACUAAUCCUUUUUCAACUGCUACUUUGUCUUUCAUAUAUUUUGUGACUACAGAGUAGUCGGGAUGCUAUAGUUGAAUCUGCAAGGCACUUACUGAAUUUAUUAACUGAAAGACCACGGAGUGGAGGAAGAGGAGACCUCACCAACCAGAAUGCCAGUCAUAGGGUACCUCAAACUGAACCAUCUGUCCAAAUGGAAAUGAGCAGAUCUUUUCCUGGACUUUACAACAGGGGAAGAGGAAAAC